UACAAUAUUUUACAAACAAUUUAGAUACAACAACCUGAUCUUUGUUUUCCUUUUCACAAGAAGCUAUUUUUGGCUUACAUGAAGGGAUGCAUGCUGUUCAUCUUGCAGGUAUGACUCAUCCUCGCAUUCUUACUUCGCCUUUGUUUCCUUCAGCUUCUUGAUCCUGAAAUUUUAAGAUAAAUUGGAAGUACUCAGUAUCAUGUUCUUAAGCAAAGCUACUGUUUUUUGGUUGAAUUAUAGUGUUUUCUCUGACCUAUGUAUAGUGUCAAUAAAAAUCUAAAUUACAAGAUGGAGAUACAUUUUUUGGUGGCAUCUUACAUCACAGUAAUUUACAACCAAGAUAGGCCUACAAUGUCUUUUUGAUAGCAACGAUAAUGCAUAGCUGCAGAUUUUGUCGAAUACACAUAUGUAUUUUGUAUGCAUGACAAAUACUGGGGUAAAAUAGAAUAACAAGUAAAUCAUUUAUUUUGUCUUCAUAUUUACUUGAAGGACUGCAUGUUCUUCAUCUUUGUAUGCACCAUGUAUUUGCUUGUAAGCUUCAGUAGUGUCAUCUAUCUAGUCUGAUUUAUACACUACAUUCCUAAGCUGAAAUAUUUUUUGUAACUGAAAUAUAUAGUUUGAGUUUCAUUCAGUUAUUUUUCACUUUUUAACUGAAUAUCUUUUUGUAACUGAAAUAUACCUGCACUUACAAUGCCUUACUCAUAGGGUUUCUUUGUAACUGAAAUAUAAGCUCUGUCCAGUAAGCAUUUCUUCACCCUUGGGCAACUUUGCACAAAUGGACUGUGUAUUACACUCCAAGUGCUUCUUUUUGUUAUGGAUAGUUCGGUCUAUGAACCAUGUGAUCAAUGUUUGAUUUCAUACUGCUGUAUCGUUGUCCUUUGCUGCAUUUGAUGGACUUGUAAACUAUCUCUGCAGCACAAAAUUUGACCAUGGAGAUGACUAACAUGGCUUCUCUGUCUUAUGCUCUAUUUGUCAGUGAAAAAUCUUGCACCUUGACCGACAGAAUUAAGAGGGACUAGAAUGGGGAAGGACCUCUGCUAUAUCACGAUGGAACUGGUUACUUGAAUGUGAAUGGCCAACUCCAUGCCAGCUAUCUUUUAAUCUUACUAUGCUUUUGCAUUAUCUUCUUCAGUGAGAAGUUGUUAUAUGCUAGAAGACUAGCUUCAAACUCAAUUUAGAACAGACCUAAAUGCAUUCUUUGUCCAGUAGUUAAUUUGGACAUGCCACUUUCUGGCUUGCUCAUAAAUAUCUUGGCUGUUUUGACCCUCAAGCCGUCCAUUAGUCCUAUGCUGCUGUACCAGUGCACCUGAUUUUUAUUCUACCAGUUAAUUCAAAAAUGCCUCUAGAUAUGUGCUUCAUCCACUUACUGCAUAUGAUAUCUCCCUAUAUUUUCCUGAACCAUUUAACUGAUUUUUGUUGUAGUCCAAAAUUAUAUGUUUAUGUUUAUUGCCUUUUUUAGUGUUGAUAUUUGAAAGGGAACAAGGCAACGUGUUGCACUCUUGCUUUUGUUAGAGCACUAUCUUUUAUUGUUAACCAUGCUAUGGUCCAAACUCCUCUUUAUUCUGCUCAUAUGAUAUUGCUCAUCUUUUGUUUUCUGUCCUGAUGCCUCCUGUAUUUAGAGUAGAAAUAUUCUUAAUUUAGUGUUUCUUGAACAUGGCCAGGGCAAUGGAUAAAAUCUACUUUGGAGAGUUGACAGAGGGAGCACAUGCUAAGUUGACUUUUUCCUAUGGAUUUGCUUAUCGUGAAGAUGCUUGCAAGGAUGCAAAGGGAGCAGAUCAUUUGGAGAGAUGCCACUGUUUGGUGUUUUUAUACAUUUUGGUUUGCUUGUAACUGUGUUUGCACUAGCUGGGAGUAAGUGACUUGGCAAGAAGUGUAGGUGUUUUAAUUGAAGGCCUGAAAACCAUGACAAUUUUGUAUGCUGUUACAGUAUGUGCUCUAAUGUCGCUGGUUUAUUAUAAAUCUUGGAUUAGUAAUGGUGUGUAAUGCUGCUGGUUUAUUGCAAAUAUGUGUUUGUUUUA
rnacentral:lncRNA from 1 species